GCAAACUUGGUCAUUUAGAGGAAGUAAAAGUCGUAACAAGGUUUCCGUAGGUGAACCUGCGGAAGGAUCAUUAACAAAUAAUCAUCAACUUUGAUGAACCAUUUGUGCAAAUGUAUUUGUUGAAAGAGUUUGGGAAACCAUCUCUUUUAAUUUUUUUAUCCACACCUUUAAACAAAUAUAUAAACAAAAUAUUUUAAAAAAUAAAAUACAACUUUCAACAAUGGAUCUCUUGGCUCUCGCAUCGAUGAAGAACGCAGC
rnacentral:misc_RNA from 1 species